GGUGAACGCUGGCGGCGUGCUUAACACAUGCAAGUCGCGCGGGGAAACCCCUUCGGGGGGAGUACCAGCGGCGCACGGGUGAGUAACACGUGGGUAACCUACCCCUCAGCGGGGGAUAACCGGGGGAAACUCCGGCUAAUACCCCAUAUUAUCCGGUGACGACAGUUGCUGGAUGAAAGGAGCGUUUGCUUCGUUGAGGGAUGGGCCCGCGGCCCAUCAGGUAGUUGGUGAGGUAAUGGCUCACCAAGCCUACGACGGGUAGCCGACCUGAGAGGGUGACCGGCCACAAGGGCACUGAGACACGGGCCCUACUCCUACGGGAGGCAGCAGUGGGGAAUUUUGGACAAUGGGCGAAAGCCUGAUCCAGCGACGCCGCGUGAGGGACGAAGCCCUUCGGGGUGUAAACCUCUGUUGUGAGGGACGAAUAAGAUCUGGAGGAAGUGCCAGAUCGAUGACGGUACCUCACGAGAAAGCCCCGGCUAACUACGUGCCAGCAGCCGCGGUAAUACGUAGGGGGCGAGCGUUACCCGGAUUCACUGGGCGUAAAGGGGGCGCAGGCGAUCCAGUAUGUCGGGUGUGAAAUCCCACAGCUCAACUGUGGAAUUGCGCCCGAAACUACUGGGUUUGGGGCUGGUAGAGGGAGACGGAACUGCUGGUGUAGGGGUGAAAUCCGUAGAUAUCAGCAGGAACGCCGGUGGGGAAGCCGGUCUCCUGGGCCAAGCCCGACGCUGAGGCCCGAAAGCUAGGGGAGCAAACCGGAUUAGAUACCCGGGUAGUCCUAGCCGUAAACGAUGCCCACUAGGUGUGGGGGAGUCAUUCCUCCGUGCUGUAGCUAACGCGUUAAGUGGGCCGCCUGGGGAGUACGCCCGCAAGGGUGAAACUCAAAAGGAAUUGGCGGGACCCCGCACAAGCGGUGGAGCGUGUGGUUUAAUUUGGAUGCUAAGCCAGAACCUUACCAGGGCUUGACAUGCAGUUGGUAACACCGAAGGUAGGACCUUUUCUUUUGAAGGGAGCUGCACAGGUGGUGCACGGUCGUC
rnacentral:rRNA from 1 species